UCGAGGAUUUUUUGCAAUGCGCGCAAGCGUGACAGAGCGACGCCGCGUGGACGAUGAAGGCCUUCGGGUUGUAAAGUCCAAUCUCGGGGAAAGAAGAGCCGGAGGUUAACAGCCUGCCGGCUUGACGUUACUCCGGUUGAAGCGCCGGCUAAACUCGUGCCAGCAGCCGCGGUAAUACGAGUGGCGCAAGCGUUGUUCGGAUUCACUGGGCAUAAAGCGCGCGUAGGCGGUGCUGUAAGUCGGUUGUGAAAGCCCCCGGCUCAACCGGGGAAUCGCAGUCGAAACUGCAGUGCUAGAGUCUGGAAGGGGGGAGUGGAAUUCCUGGUGGAGCGGUGAAAUGCGUAGAUAUCAGGAGGAACGCCGGUGGCGAAGGCGACUCUCUGGUCCAGUACUGACGCUC
rnacentral:rRNA from 1 species